rnacentral:rRNA from 1 species
AUUGAACGCUGGCGGCAGGCCUAACACAUGCAAGUCGAGCGGAUGAAGGGAGCUUGCUCCUGGAUUCAGCGGCGGACGGGUGAGUAAUGCCUAGGAAUCUGCCUGGUAGUGGGGGAUAACGUCCGGAAACGGGCGCUAAUACCGCAUACGUCCUGAGGGAGAAAGUGGGGGAUCUUCGGACCUCACGCUAUCAGAUGAGCCUAGGUCGGAUUAGCUAGUUGGUGGGGUAAAGGCCUACCAAGGCGACGAUCCGUAACUGGUCUGAGAGGAUGAUCAGUCACGGUGGAAGAGAGACAGGGUCCACACUCCUACGGGGGGACGGAGUGGAGAAUUUUGGAAGGGGGGCGAAGGCCAGAUCCAACCAUGGCGCGGGUGUGGAGAAGGUAUUGGGAUUGUAAAGCUCUUUAAGUUGGGGGGAAGGAGAGUAAUUACAUACCUUGCUGUUUACAGGUCCCCAACAAAAAACGCCCGCUAAAUCCUUG